rnacentral:tRNA from 1 species
UUAGAGCGACGGAAUCAUAAUCCGCAGGUCCGGGGUUCGAGUCCCUGAUUCGCCA